rnacentral:rRNA from 1 species
UACGUAGGGUGCGAGCGUUGUCCGGAAUUAUUGGGCGUAAAGGGCUCGUAGGCGGUCUGUCACGUCGGGAGUGAAAACUCAGGGCUUAACCCUGAGCCUGCUUCCGAUACGGGCAGACUAGAGGUAUGCAGGGGAGAACGGAAUUCCUGGUGUAGCGGUGAAAUGCGCAGAUAUCGGGAGGAACACCAGUAGCGAAGGCGGCACUCUGGGCCGGUACUGACGCUGAGGAGCGAAAGCGUGGGGAGCAAACAGG